UCUCUCUCUGUCAAAUAAAUAAAUAAAAUCUUAAAAAAAAAAAAAAGAUCAGAAUGCGUUUGUGCAGCCUUGAACAGUUCCCUAAGUUGCCUGACAUCUAACAGUUCAUGCGUUCCUCCUCCUUUAAGGUCAAUAAUUAUAACCCUGGCUUUACACAAAAGAGAGGAAGGUUCAGGCAUCCUAAGUGACCAACCCAAGGACGUGUCAUCAGCAAGGGGCAAAACCUGCACUUAAAUGUUGGCUUGUGGCCCCCAGCACAGUUCUCUACCUUCACCACAGGCUCGGAUACAAAAUGAGGGAAAUGUCUUUAUUGAAGGAGAACGUACAACACUCGGCCACUGUUUCGGAAGCCCAGAAGCACGGUUAUGUGUUUGUCUUGGCACCGACUUCAACUGAGUAAUUUUGGAAAGGGCAAUUCCGGCAGAGGACAAACUGGGAGUGUGGGGCAUUGUAAGCAGUUUGUAUUUCAGGAGCAGGGAGAUGGGAGCCAGGCAGCAGGAGUCAGCUCACGGAGGACGGCUUCAUAUACCACGCGGACCUUGGAUUUUGCCCUCUCAGUAGCAGAUGAGAAGUCACUGAGGACUUUAAGCAAGGAGUAACAUGGAAAUAUUUGCAUUUUGAAAGGUUUCUGGAUGACCCCAGGGAAAACAAAGAGAGAAGGGAGAGGGGAAAACCCCGGUUGAGUACCAUGGAAGCUGCAUGCCGGGUGGUGACAAGUGUCACGGCAUUCACCCUUCCAACAGCAGCCUGACCACCAAACCACGACCCAGGAAAGAUGGUGCCCGAGAGGCUGUCUGUGCUCUGAGAUAAAGCCAGCGGCUAGAGGUCAGACACAAUGGACCUUUCUCAGUGUUCACCCAUGAGCGCUCCUGGCAAGGACCUCGAAACAGUGACAGCUCUCAUCACCUCCCCUAAGCGCAGAGAUGGGAAUGGAGCUUGGCCCAGGUCCCCAACGGCAGGAACAGACGCCACCACCAUCCAGCUCAGCCCUGGGAGAUGGUUCAACGGCAGGGUCGUCUUCGCUCGAGAUAGACCGAAGAGCUCAGCUUUGCAGUUUUUUUAUCUUGAUGACAGAUGUGCUCUUUUUAAAAUGUCACAGAACAAGCAGAACUCUAAGCGAUGCUGCCUGCUUUUCUGUGGCUCAUUCUCAGGACCUUUUGACAGUUCCAAUAUGUCUGUGCUCUUGAGAAAUGGAUUUGGGACAGAGAAAGUGAGAGCCGUCGCUGGAACUCACUGAGGGUCUGCUGGAAAGGCGUAAAAGCCCAAGGGCCAGGGCUGGCGCGGCUCCAGGGAAGGCGGACUGGGAGACAAUGCCGCUCAACUUCACAGUGGGUUUCUGUGCUGAUACUUGUUUGGCCGGAGAGCAACACGUUGGACUGUGCUUUUUGAUGACAACUGACCAGAAGUCUGGUUACCUCGCAAGGAAAUUCUAUGACGUUUCAGUGAUAUUUAGAAGACUUCUCACAACACAUGGUCAAGUUAAAAAUAACAGUUCAGGGGCGCCUGGGUGGCUCCAUCAUUAAGCAUCUGCCUUUGGCUCAGGUCAUGAUCUCAGGGUCCUGGGAUCGGGCCCCACGUUGGGCUUCCUGCUCUGCUGGGAAGCCUGUUUCCCCCUCACCCACUCCCCCUGCUUGGGCUCCCUCUGUCGCUGUGUGUGUGUGUCUCUCUCUCUCUCUCUGUCAAAUAAAUAAAUAAAUAAAAUCUUUUAAUUAAAAAAAAAAUAAAAAUAACAGUUCAUUCUGAUUCAGUUUUGUCCAUUUGUGGGGACAGAGGGACUGGGAGGGCAUUGUAUUACUUAGGAUGUGGGAAUAUAAAGAACAGAGACUCACCAAGACUGCUCAAAAAACAAACGAACAAAAACAAAAACCAAGUUCCUUGCAAGGAAACACCUGCACCUAUACAUAAGCAAAGCUGGGAAACAGUAAGAGUGAGGAUUAUUCUGGAAUCAAGGCAGGUCCAAAGGGCUCAGCCACAGGAGCCGAACCUCUGGAAGCUUUGCUCUGCAGUUGGGACUGGUCAGCUUCCUCACGCCCUCUUCUGUAGUUUCUCACCUUCUCACACCUUCUCCUUACAUUUUCUGUUUCUCCACAAUUCGGGCUUGCAAAGGACCCAUCAGGGCUGCACUGUUCCUCCUCGUGUGAUUCUUGAAGCCAGGUCCCCUCUGCUAGCCACCAGUCUGUCUGCAGCUCCUGGUUCUAAUACCCAGGAGAGGAGAGCUUUGGCCCACCCUGUCUGUGCCCAGCCCAUGGAAACCAGCCUGCAUCAGGCUACCUGGGCUCCUGGUCCCCGUACAAGGAUCGAGCUAACGUGCAUGACUUUGAUUUAGUUCCUCAGCACUGUGGCCGGUGGGGCAACAAUGGUGCAAUCAGACAAGACACACGACAUAUUGAGUGGACUGAAAGGCGAAUGAUUGGGAAGGUUACCAGCCCGCACUGGUGACAGGACACCGUGGACAAGUUCUGUGCCCACUCACGUUGUCUGCCCCACGCGUCCCGCAGAACGUGCAGUGACCUUGGGCAGCUCCCAGGUGUCUUCCACCGUGGCUAGUCUGGGCUUGCAGCACCCAGAGGAGAAUCCCCAGCCUUGCCUGCCAGGCCUAUCUGCUCAGUUUCCCUGUUUUCUAGCAGGAAAGCUGAAUUUCAGGAUGAACUGUGAGUUGUUUUUUCAAUCUGUUUUAUGAGCCCUUAAUCAUCAGGAAAAUCGAGCAUUAAAAAGAAAAGUGCAUGUUUAUUUUUCUUUUUGUCGAGACCUUGAAAACAGAAGAGGGAUGGGAGAAAUGACAAAAAGCCACGGCGGUCAGGUGAUACACAUGCAGGAGACAUGCUUCUUUGCCGAAGUGGGCACGCCUCAUUCUGCCCACUAGACUCCUAUGCAGCCGCAGGGAAAAGCAGGGGGGCUCUUCUGUCUGAAUGUUGUCUCCAGAACUGCCCAACACCUGCACCUCUUGAAUUUCAUUCAAGAUUCCUAAUCAAUAAGAGAAUGUGUUCUUUGUGGCUGGCAUCCUGCCACUAGCCCCAAGAAUCACUUAAGAGUCUGUACUUCGGGCCCUUCUGGAAGGAGUUCUUUGUUUGAAGCUCUGUACUUGCCUAAAAAGGUCCCUUGGAGGAAAUCUGGUAUGUCUAUUCAGAACGACUCACAAAAGGGAGAGUGGUAAACACUCUGAUUGACAAGCUUUGCUUUAAUAAAUUAACAAUUACCUUAAAAUGAUUACAAUCUUGUGUUUCCUCCUCCCCACCCUGGGGGUUCUGGGUCUGGCCAAAUAUACGAGUUCUCUGUGAAACUGGCAAUAGCAGGGAAAUUCCAAGUCAAGAAUGUGAUGGAGGCCCUGCAGGAGGGACCGGCUGGGGCUGUAGAAAAGCCAUGAAGAGGCAGUCAUCUCAUAGAUUAUAAAUGAAGCAACAGAUGUGAUCUACUGCUUAGCAUGUUUUAUGGGACCACAGAUACAUUCUUCUUAAAGAUCCUUCUCCUGGAAUUUUAAAAUGAAGGCGUGGUUUCUAGCUGGUGUUUUUGUUGGUUCUGAUUAGUUUAAGGAAGUGGAGCAUAGCUGUUUAAAUGCACGUUAGGGACUGAAUUUAUACUCCUGACCGCCUCUGUAAGGACAAAGAAGUAAAUCCCAUGAUAGUAAAAGGCACGAACCACAUGACUACCAGCCGUAAAAUCUUACUGCUCAAAUCUUGGAUCCUAUCUGGAAAUAAUUUAUUAGAAUUUGAGAGCUGAAAAUACGUCAUUAUCCAAAACACGACUAGAUCAACAGGUGGAGUCUAUCAGUUAUAAUCAAGACUCCUUAGGUUAAGAUUUUUAUCAGAGACUCUGGGUAUCUAGUUACUCAUAGAGACUUAUUAUUAUUUUUUUCUGCAAAAUGGACAUUUUUAGGAAGAAUAUCUGUUCAUGUCUUUUUAAAAUUUAAAUUUUAUUUAUUUAUUUUUAAAGAUUU
ensembl:lincRNA